rnacentral:misc_RNA from 1 species
AAAGUCGUAACAAGGUUUCCGUAGGUGAACCUGCGGAAGGAUCAUUAUCACGUUAUCCACGUUAUAAACCCUUCUUUGAAAUGUUUAUAUUUCUACAAAUUCUGGUAAAAAAUGAAUUGGGCACUUAAGGGCGAACAAGUAGACUUGCAGGUGCGCCCUGCAUGAAAUGGAUUAUUUACUGUAAUUUGAAAAUCCAGACUACUCCAGUAGCUAAAUCAUUCGUUUCAUAUCAACUGUGUGUUGAUGGAAAGUGUUGAUGGUUUAUUUGCAAAACUUGUUUUUGCAAACCGCUAGCAAUUGAAAAACUCCAGAAUGUAUUUCAAAUUACAUUAUUGUUAAUAAACAACUUUAACCCAUUUUGAUAAAUUGAACUAACAUUUUUCAUACUCUGAUCAAAAGGAGAUGAAAUUCAUUACGAAACAAAGAACAACUCUUAGCAACGGAUAUCUUGGUUCUC